UUACCCAGCAGGCUAGUGGUGAAGCCUAAAAUUGGAAAGAUACAGAGAAGAUUAGCAUGGCCCCUGUGCAAGGAUGACACACAAAUUCAUGAAGCGUUCCAUAUUUUU